UCGGCCCUCUGCUCUGGCGUUGCGAAGUGUUCCGUUUCCAAUAGCGAGGUUAUGUGUGUUUGCCCGAAUGGGUACAAUGGCACUAAUUGUACAGACAUCGACGAGUUUGUAAUAGGCAGAAAUACGUGUAGUCAAAACUGCAACAAUACUGAGGGCGGGUACAGAUGCCAAUGCAAAGAAGGAUAUGUCCUUCAAGACGACAAUGCAACUUGUACAGAAUGCAUCAACUGGACAUACGGUAAAAACUGUUUGAGCAAGUGUGAAUGUAAUGUAACCAAUACUAAAACAUGCAAUUCAACAAACGGAGAGUGCACGUGUUUGAAAGGAUGGCAAGGCAAACGAUGUUCUGAUGAUGUUGACGAAUGUACGUCAAUUCAAAAUGUGUGUCCCACUUUUUCAAACUGUAUAAACCUGUCGGGCGAUUUUAGGUGCGAAUGUAACCACGGAUA